UAGGGAAUCUUCCGCAAUGGACGCAAGUCUGACGGAGCAACGCCGCGUGAGUGAAGAAGGAUUUCGGUUCGUAAAACUCUGUUGUUAGAGAAGAACAGCGCAUAGAGUAACGGUUAUGCGUGUGACGGUAUCUAACCAGAAAGCCACGGCUAACUACGUGCCAGCAGCCGCGGUAAUACGUAGGUGGCAAGCGUUGUCCGGAUUUAUUGGGCGUAAAGCGAGCGCAGGCGGUCAAUUAAGUCUGAUGUGAAAGCCCCCGGCUCAACCGGGGAGGGUCAUUGGAAACUGGUUGACUUGAGUGCAGAAGAGGAGAGUGGAAUUCCAUGUGUAGCGGUGAAAUGCGUAGAUAUAUGGAGGAACACCGGUGGCGAAAGCGGCUCUCUGGUCUGUAACUGACGCUGAGGCUCGAAAGCGUGGGGAGCGAACAGG
rnacentral:rRNA from 1 species